GACGGAGGGAGCAAGCGUUGUCCGGAAUUACUGGGCGUAAAGAGCUCGUAGGCGGGGACUUAAGUCCGGGAGUAAAUCCAUCGGCUUAACCGGUGAAUCAUCUCGGAUACUGGGUCUCUUGAGGACAGGAGAGGAAAGGGGAAUUCCUAGUGUAGCGGUGGAAUGCGUAGAUAUUAGGAGGAACACCUGUGGCGAAGGCGCCUUUCUGGCCUGAUCCUGACGCUGAGGAGCGAAAGCCAGGGGAGCGAACGGGAUUAGAUACCCCGGUAGUCCUGGCCGUAAACGAUGGAUACUAGGUGUAGGGGGUAUCGACCCCCUCUGUGCCGCAGCUAACGCAAUAAGUAUCCCGCCUGGGGAGUACGGCCGCAAGGUUGAA
rnacentral:rRNA from 1 species